AUUGAACGCUGGCGGCAGGCUUAACACAUGCAAGUCGAGCGGGGAAGGGUAGCUUGCUACCUAACCUAGCGGCGGACGGGUGAGUAAUGCUUAGGAAUCUGCCUAUUAGUGGGGGACAACAUUCCGAAAGGAAUGCUAAUACCGCAUACGCCCUACGGGGGAAAGCAGGGGAUCUUCGGACCUUGCGCUAAUAGAUGAGCCUAAGUCAGAUUAGCUAGUUGGUGGGGUAAAGGCCUACCAAGGCGACGAUCUGUAGCGGGUCUGAGAGGAUGAUCCGCCACACUGGGACUGAGACACGGCCCAGACCCCUACGGGAGGCAGCAGUGGGGAAUAUUGGACAAUGGGCGCAAGCCUGAUCCAGCCAUGCCGCGUGUGCGAAGAAGGCCUUUUGGUUGUAAAGCACUUUAAGCGAGGAGGAGGCUACCGAGAUUAAUACUCUUGGAUAGUGGACGUUACUCGCAGAAUAAGCACCGGCUAACUCUGUGCCAGCCGCCGCGGUAAGAC
rnacentral:rRNA from 1 species